AUUGAACGCUGGCGGCAGGAUUAACACAUGCAAGUCGAGCGAGCGGCGGACGGGUGAGUAAUGUCUGGGAAACUGCCUGAUGGAGGGGGAUAACUACUGGAAACGGUAGCUAAUACCGCAUACCAUCAGAUGUGCCCAGAUGGGAUUAGCUAGUAGGGGGGGUAAUGGCUCACCUAGGCGACGAUCCCUAGCUUGUCUGAGAGGAUGACCAGCCACACUAGAACUUGUACACGGUCUAGUCUCCUACGGGAGGCAGCAGUGGGGAAGAUUGCACAAUGGGCGCAAGCCUGAUGCAGCCAUGCCGCGUGUGUAAAUAAGGCCUUCGGGUUUUAAAGCACUUUCAGCGAGGAGGGGUUGCUCGCAGAAGAAGCACCGGCUAACUCCGUGCCAGCAGCCGCGGUAAUAC
rnacentral:rRNA from 1 species